CAGUAGCCGCGGUAACACGGAGGGUGCAAGCGUUAAUCGGAAUUACUGGGCGUAAAGCGCACGCAGGCGGUUUGUUAAGUCAGAUGUGAAAUCCCCGAGCUUAACUUGGGAACUGCAUUUGAAACUGGCAAGCUAGAGUCUUGUAGAGGGGGGUAGAAUUCCAGGUGUAGCGGUGAAAUGCGUAGAGAUCUGGAGGAAUACCGGUGGCGAAGGCGGCCCCCUGGACAAAGACUGACGCUCAGGUGCGAAAGCGUGGGGAGCAAACAGGAUUAGAUACCCCGGUAGUCCCUGUCUCUUAUAC
rnacentral:rRNA from 1 species